rnacentral:rRNA from 1 species
UACGUAGGGGGCGAGCGUUGCCCGAAUUUACUGGGCGUAAAGCGCACGCAGGCGGCUCCGUGAGUCUGGUGUGAAAUCUCACGGCUCAACCGGGAGGCUGCACAAUAUACUGCGGGGCUCGAGGACGGGAGAGGAGAUUGGAAUUCCCGGUGUAGCGGUGAAAUGCAUUGAUAUCGGGAGGAACACCAGUGGCCAAGGCGGAGCUCUGGCCCGUUGCUGACGCUGUGGUGCGAAAGCUGGGCGAGCGAAAGGG